rnacentral:lncRNA from 1 species
GCUGGAGCUACAAACAAGCAUGCAUUCAGUUAUUUCCCUGGCCCAUCACUGUAGUAACUGCAAGAGAAUCCUCAUCCUGAAGAAGCUCAGAAAAGAUGAAAGCAGAAGCCUGAGGAACAAGCGCUGACAGAGAAUAAAGGAAAAUCUGAGAAGUAGCUCUGAGGACAUCAAAUAUGUUAAGUCUGCUCUGAUUUAUGGAGACUUUUUACUCCUGCAUUCAAUAACACCCAUGGCAAUUUGGGAGGACAUAAUAAAAUUUGGUAUAAACACGAAGAUUAUCUUCAGCAUUUGCAGCAGAAAUUUUGCACUUACAUUGAUCCUGUCAGCAAAAUAGUGUACAGGCAGCAGCAUGUUAUAAAACAAAGCAGCUCUUGCCAGUUAAUCAAGAUUCUCCAGCUUCUCCUUGUGCCUGGACCUCUGCAGCCUUGCCCAGACAUCCUUGCCUAGGUCCAUCUGGAACUGUAAGUUCCUCUAUGGUUCCAAAUAG